rnacentral:tRNA from 1 species
GGGGUGGUGGCUCAGUGGUAGAGUGCUUUCCUUGCAUAUGUGAGGCACUGGGUUCGAUUCUCAGCACCCCA